rnacentral:ncRNA from 1 species
AAGCGAGGACGACCUCCCCCAUCCGGGAAAUCAUUCGGGACGGCCCGG